rnacentral:rRNA from 1 species
UUUAAUUCGAAGCAACGCGAAGAACCUUACCUAAGCUUGACAUCCCAAUGACAUCUCCUUAAUCGGAGAGUUCCCUUCGGGGACAUUGGUGACAGGUGGUGCAUGGUUGUCGUCAGCUCGUGUCGUGGGAUGUUGGGUUAAGUCCCGCAACGAGCGCAACCCUUGUCUUUAGUUGCCAUCAUUAAGUUGGGCACUCUAGAGAGACUGCCAGGGAUAACCUGGAGGAA